CCGGGGUCCGGAGCGCUCUAGUGUCAAAAGUGGCUAUUACACUCCGGAGUCCGGAGUCCUCUAGCGUCAAAAGUGGCUAUUGCACUCCGGAAAUUUAUGGCGACGAAUGGCAAAUCAAAUAACGACUGAUUCUGUGUUUUGACUCUCAUCACCUCGUUAAAACUUUUUGCCUCUUUCUUCGCAAUUGCCUCGUUCAAUUGGAUUCGCAAUUUCUCGUUAGUCAAUUGGUUUGAUUAACAUUUAAUAUUUAUGGUGUGCAUAAAGGAAGAGGGAAUGAUAGGAAAUAAAUCUCUGCUGUACUUGGUGAUUUCCAACAGGCCAUACAUUCUACAAUGACAUUCUGAUUGUGUGUGAUAAUGAAGAGGGAAUGAUUGCAAUUAAAUCUCUGCUGUACUUGGUGAUUUCCAGCAGGCCAUACACUCUACGAUGGCAUUCUGAUUGUAACCAGGUGUGUGUUAAUGAAGAGGGAAUGAUUGCAAUUAAAUCUCUGCUGUACUUGGUGAUUUCCAGCAGGCCAUACACUCUACGAUGGCAUUCUGAUUGUAACCAGGUGUGUGAUAAUGAAGAGGGAAUGAUUGCAAUUAAAUCUCUGCUGUACUUGGUGAUUUCCAGCAGGCCAUACACUCUACGAUGGCAUUCUGAUUGUAACCAGGUGUGUGAUAAUGAAGAGGGAAUGAUUGCAAUUAAAUCUCUGCUGUACUUGGUGAUUUCCAGCAGGCCAUACACUCUACGAUGGCAUUCUGAUUGUAACCAGGUGUGUUAAUGAAGAGGGAAUGAUAGGAAAUAAAUUUCUGCUGUACAUGGUGAUUCUCCAACAUUAUUGAUCCCAAAAUCCUCGACUUUCAUCCAGUCAUAAUGAUGUCAUUUACUAUGACUUUGGCUAGGCCAUGUAUUCUGCCAAUGAUCGUAUCAAAAGGAAACGACCAGGUCGCCAUGUCUUCUCGAUAGAAAACUCGUGAGGACACCGCUGUUAUUUGCACGCUGCUCAGUGUCUUGGUCGGUGUAUGCGCGGGAAAACGGACGAAUGGUGAUAAGCAACAUUUCUUUGUACAGACAAUUAUUGAUGCACAUUUUGUGAAACCAACCGUCGCAACCAUUCGUGUCACAUCCGAUAAACUCAAAUCCAUUUUUCUCCCAGCCUGUCCUGCGACAGGUACAAUACAAUAAUUCUGCUUCGACAGUCUCGUGAGUCCUUGUUGCACGACUUUCAACUGAUGGGAAUGGAGUUAGUUCGCCGGAAUCCAUACACUGAAUAAGGUGAUUGGAGGAGACUGGACAUACAACUUAGGACAUGCUCGUUUCUCCAUGGAUUGCCGGGACUGCUGUCAUACACCAGUACAUGUUCACGUUGAAUAAACCCUUUGGCAACUAAUACCCAGUGAUCCGAUCCGUCAUGAACGAUCUGCAACCAUUGAUCGCCCUGCGCUCGGGGGAAUUCAAGGCUGCCUCCAAUUGUACAGCAGAACAGACCACCUAUUUCUGGAUGUUGCUUUUUCAGGAUUGCCUGCGCCUUGUUGAUGUCGCCUGACAUGAGUUUGUUCGUCUUUGUUAAUACUUGCGGCUUGUCCAAGAAAAGAUAGGGUUGUUUACUCCUGUCCCGUCUAUUUCGGUUUUUUCGGAGGCAACCAUCAGUCGAAGACACAAGCUAUUAAAGGAAGUAAGGAAAUUCGAAUCAUUUUUCUGAAAUUCUUCCAAAUAUCAUUUUGUUACCUCUACAGAAUUAUCGGGUAAUGCAGUUGUGAUCAGUGUGACAUCGACAGGUGGAACAUCAGUGGUUGUGGUGAUGCUGAUGUCCGUUUUGUUUACAGGUGAAACUUCGCUGGGUGUAGUUGUGAUCAAUGUGUAGUUGUGAUCAAUGAUGGACACGUCCACUUCAUCGACUGGUGGAACAUCAGCGGCUGUGGUGAUGCGAACGUCUGUUUUGUUUACAGGUGAAACUACGCUGGGUGUAGGUAAUUCCUGAAGCUGUGAUGACGAAUCUUGAUUAUAAUAAUCCUUCAUGUGUUCUUCUUCCUCAGCCAAAAUUAGCACUUCCUCCAUCUCUCUGCUCAUAAUUCCACCCAUCUAAACAAAAGCUUCACGUUCUUCUCAUCUGGAUCUGGAUCCACCACUGAAACAUCGUCACGCGUUGUCUUCGACUUCUUUUUGUAAGCAGUAAAAUAUCCUUUGUCCUGUUUUGGCCUGCCUCUUUUAACAGGGGCAACGGGAAGACGGAGCGAUGCCCAAGGUUGAGCAAAAACCUAUAAAGAUGUUUCAAUACGUUCCGCAACAGUCGGAGAAUCAACCAGUGAGUUGUUCGAAGGAUUCUCGGUCUCCUGCUUCUCGUCUUCCAUUACUCGAAGGAGUUUCCCCUCUUUCAUUAAUUUGUGAAUGUUAAGGAAGAAGUGCAAUUGGACUUCGAAGUCGGAGGCUGCUAGUCCACUCAUCGUGUCGGCCAUCCUACGGAAAACGUUAGUGGCCAUGAUAUAUUGGCUUUUCCCCGUUGCACGCAGCCGGGUCUUUUUCGGACGCUGAACUCCAGAUGGCGAUGAAACGCUUGCGGAAACGACCGCAUCAUUCUUACAUUCAUUUAACCAGUGAUUAGAAAAUGAUCCCACUGGAACUUCGGUGUUUUCUUUGAUGUGGAAGUUGAUAAUGUGGCGGCAAGGCAGUUGAAAAUCCAAGAAAAACUUGCACGUGCAGCCAGUGAGAUCUUGUUUCAAUUUGUACGUAGUGUAGCGUGAAACUAUGUGUUCUGCUUCGAGAUGGCCCCAAGCAAAAGGGGAGAUGGUGUCCGCAAACUUUUUGAUCAACGGAUGCUUUUCCUUCUUGGAGAAUUUUACCUCUCGUAUGCACUGUUUCAUUUUUCGGUCAGAAAGGCGUAUCAAAACGAUGUCUAUUAAAUUGCGGAGAACUUCUGACAAUCGCUUGGUUUUCUGGAGGACAUCCUUGAUAGUGUGGUGAAAUCUUAAAAUGUAAUUCAGACGAUUGGUGGUAUUGUUACCAAACGUUGGAAGAUUUCGACGUCCAAGGUUACUCCAUUUGUCGGCUAUGUUGAACCAGUUAUUUUCGAAGUAUGCUGCAAUACUUCCUGGUCCGGAACCUAUGAAGUACGCUUUUGCUGUUUCAAAAUCAGCCUGCGUUUCAGCAUACAUAGCCGCACGAAAGUGUUUAAUAAUUUCGUGGAUUUUUUCUUUGUCUACGCGUUCGCCGUCCUUUGGUUUCUUUAUGUAGACGUCUACGGCCUUCAAUGCGUGAAACUGACAAAGGAUGUGAACCCCAUGAGGAAAGCAGUUCUCCAACGCGGCUAUCUCAGCGCAGUCUUUGUCGGAUAUGGUCACUUUUGUCAUGGAGACGUCGUUAUUCUGUAGGCAUUCAGAAAUCGCUUCCGUUGUCUCUUCUCUAAUGAAGAACAUAGCUACGGGUUGACCAUCGCCAUUAUUGUCUUCUAUCAGCAAAUGAUACAGCGCAAAUCCAGCUUGAUCAAUAUUCUGCACGAAAAUAGCGGUGACUUCUCCUUCCGGGUCGUGCAGCACUUUGACGACGUUGUUUGGAUCUUGUUGUAGACUAUCAAGAAAGCUAACUGAAUUGCUCCAAUCGUCUUCCAAAUUCCCUAAUGACAGAAAAAAGUUGUCCUUGAUUUGUUCAAGUCCUUGCUAAUGAGAUUGGAACCGAAUUUAUCUUGCAGAAUCUUGCGAAUUUUAGUCGGUUGAGCGCCGGCAGAAAGCGCACCGUUGGCGAAACUAAGGGCCUCGUCAUUCAUAUGCCUGUAAUAACGUGCAACAAGGUCGACAAGGUCAUUCCAGGAAAUAUAUAACAUGAAAUCCAAUCAUUUAAUCGAACAUACAACAAAACCUUAUUACAUCACACGGAAUGUAAAGUCUUGACAUGUUCCGCAGAAACAGGGUGGUCUUUAUGCUCCAACUCCAAGACCUUGAUCUCAAACUUUUCACUAACUGGAUUAAAAACAAAUCUAAUCUGCACUGGACAAUUGUUUGGCAUCACAUUUUGGUUCAGUCGUGAACCCUUUGAUCGUGAUUUGUGAGUACCAAAAUGAGGGCACAUGUAUUGAAUUCUUUUAAACUCAAACUUUUCGUCAAGUACGAUUUGAUUUCUUCGGUCAUUGUUGUAACUACUAAUUGACUCACAAUGACCACGACGCAAAUAUACAUUUUCUGUCUCUAA